UACAGGGGGUGCAAACGUUGCUCGGAAUUAUUGGGCGUAAAGCGCGCGUAGGCGGCUUCUUAAGUCGGAUGUGAAAGCCCUUGGCUCAACUGAGGAAGUGCACCCGAAACUGAGUGGCUAGAGUACGAAAGAGGGUCGCGGAAUUCCCGGUGUAGAGGUGAAAUUCGUAGAUAUCGGGAGGAACACCAGUGGCGAAGGCGGCGACCUGGGCAGAUACUGACACUGAGGUGCGAAAGCGUGGGGAGCAAACAGG
rnacentral:rRNA from 1 species